UUUUAAUUUAAUUCAUAUUGUUGCAUACAUCAGUAGUUUGUUUUUGCUUAUAGCUCAGUUAUCUCUUUGCUGAGCUUCUCAUGUAGAUAUUCACGAUGAUUUAUCUAUCUACCUACUAAUGGAUGUGUUUGUCUUCUUUCUAGCUUUUGACUAUUAUAAACAUCCAGAACAGUGAUUGCUUGAUCCUAUGAUAAAUGUGUUUAACUUUGGAAGAAACUGCCAAAACCCCUUUUCAAAGUGCCAAAGUUUCUCUACCAUUUUACACUCCCAUCAGAAUUGUAUGUGAGUUUCAGUUGAACUGAAUUUCACAGCAACUGUAAUUACUUGAUAGUAUUAUUAUUUAUGUCUUUUUAGUGUCUGUGGGAUCAGUAGUGAUGCCUUAUUUUCAUCCCUGGUAUACAGGAAGCUUGUGAUUUCUGCAUAUUGAUUUUGUAUCCUGAGACUUUGCUGAAGUUGCUUAUCUGUUUAAGGAGAUUUGGAACUGAGAUGAUGGAGUCUUCUAAAUAUACAAUCAUGUCAUCUACAAAGAGUGGAAAAUCCAACAAAACCUGGAGUCCUGCUUACUUCUUACUGUUCCUUGUUGCAUGGCUUACUCUCUCCCUGAAAAGAAAACUGGUGAUUUCAGUCUUUGAAGUCUGUUACAUAUUUCACAAUUACAACACAGCUCAAGUUAAGUACAAAAUUUUUACUGAAGCUUUUCAUCUAUAUUUAGAUUUUGUAGAAUAUAUAGUUGAAAACAUGGAUGUCUACACUCAAAUUGAUGCAAGCCAACCUAAAUGUGUUAUAACUAAAUAGAAUGUUAACUUUCACAUCUAAAAUGUAAUUGAUAAAAAUUAAGUAAAAUGAAAAAUUUAGUUAUUCAGUGUCCCUAACUAAAUUUUAAUCUCUCAAAAGCCACAUAUAGUCUAUGGCAACCGAAAAACAGGUACAGAACAUUUCCACUGUUGCAAAUUGGCUCCUACUCACUCGUUAAGUAGUUUUGUUAUAUUAGCUUCUUAGCUUAUUCUGUCUCUGAUCUUUCGUAAUAAUUUCCUCUCUCCAUAUGGCAAUAUUCCCAAUUCCAUUCUUACCC
rnacentral:lncRNA from 1 species